ensembl:lncRNA
GUCUAAUUCUCUGUUAUAGUAAGGAAAUGACUUAGUUCCUUCAAAUAUCUUUAAUAAUAGUUAUUUGUUCUUCGAAAAUUUCAUACAUAUGUAUAGACUGUGUUGGUCAUACAUCCAUUUUCUCUCCCAAUCUCCCUGGGGUGGGGGAUCCAAUACCCCAACACAUAUCCAUCCCAACUUUAUUAUUAUUAUUGCUAUUGUUGUUGUUGUUAUUGCUGCUGUUGUUUUUUAACCCACUGAGUCCAAUAAGCACUGCUCGUAUGUGCAUGAGUGUGUAGGUGUGCAGUCAUCCACUGGGGCAGGAACAACUACUUAUCAAUGGUCACCUUCCCAAAGAAAAGUGACUCUCCUUCCACCAGCGGCCAUCAACUGCUGGUAGAUACUCAGCUGCUGCCUACAGAGGAGGAAGCCAUUCCCAAUAACCUUCGAGGCCGUGAAUUAGACACCUGACCGACAUUCCUCAGAGACAGAAACAGUUCCGCAAGCCAGGGUGCACACCCAGAGGCUAAUGAAAAUAGUACGAAUAACUGACUGCCUAGCUUCGACAUUACCAGCAAAAGCUCACCUGUCUUAAAGCUGCACUCUCUUAAAUCAGCUCCUGCGUCGUCGGAACCCCUUGCCGCCUCUGGUCAUCUGUAGAGCUUUUGUUCUGAUGAGCGCAGUUGUAACCUGCUCGCAACUCGUUCCGUUUACCGUCAGGUCAGCUUGUGUGGACCAUCAUGCCAAACCCACUGAGUAUCUCUCCACUUUGUGUGAGUGAAUUUGUUGUUUUGUACACUUUAUUUUGUCCUCCAAAUAAACCAACCAGUGAGACCAUUUUGCUGGAACAUUAAGCUCCUGUCACGAGUAGAGUAAAUUUACAUAUAUCUACUGCCCUCCCCCCUUCAAUUCUGCUCAGUAUUGAAGAGAGCUGAGGCACCUCUAGCCCAGUUCAUCGGCAAAGGUGAGAAGAAUCCUCCAGGAGAACUCUGAAUAGUAACACCCAUAUAACUCAGCCUUCUCUCAUCCCCUCAUCCUACCGGGUUCUAAACAAAAGAAACUUUCAUUUUUAUUUUAAAAAAAAGUAUUUUUAAAGUUUGCUUACAGGGGGUUGGAGAGAUGGCUCAAUGGUCACAUGCAGAACACUGACUGCUCUUCCAGACGUCCUGAGUUCAAUUCCCAGCACCCACAUGGUGCCUCACAAGCAUCCAUAAUGGGAUCCGAUGCCCUCUUCUGGUGUGUCUGAAGACUGCGACGGUGUACUCACAUACAUUAAAAAACGCCUACAGGCUGGUGAUAUUUCUUAGUGGGUAGAGGCACCUGCCACCAGUUCUUGGCAUCCACCUGGUAUGAAGAAAUAACUGAUUCCCUCAAACUGAUUUGAGCACUGCCAUGAGCUCCCCCAAAAGUCAAUAAAUGAAUGAGUA